rnacentral:lncRNA from 1 species
GCGCUGGGCAGUAGCCCUGGGUGAGGUAGGAGGAUGUGGGUCCUGGACGAUAAACGGCUGCUCCCCAGAACCUAGAGCACUUCCGCAGCAGGGAGAGAAUUUCACAGCUCAUUGACUGCUCUGACUCCUAAUCUACACCGAGGAAACAAUGUUGCAGCUCAUCAAAUGCAAUCAGCUGCUAAUUGAAAGGAAAUGGAAUUUUACAAUUACAGGCCACCUUUCAGUGCUCAGGAUUUCUAAGCACUUCUCCCCACCUUCCUUUGCCAGCUCAGCACUGGCAGGAGCACUUGACAACCUGCUAGAGACUUCCCUAAAAGCUGCAUUUAGGACCUGGCCCGUUCUCCCCAGCUCCAGAGCAGCAGCAAAGGGAAGCAGCGUCCUCGCCAAUACCUGGGCUGUCCUUCAAGGCUCAGUGCAAGGAAAAACACCUGGGUUGGACAUCAGAUAAGGAAAUUGAGACUCAAAGAGGACCCCCAUGGAGAAAGUAAUGAAGCUUGAAUUUAGACCCAAGAUCAUGUCCCUUUCACUUCCUCAGCCUGCCCAGGAAGUUUAUAGCGUGCUCAUGCCACAAACCCUGGAGCUGGAUACGCGCUCAAUUGGCUUGAAGACCUUGGGUAGUGCUGACUUCCAGACCACUGAGGUCACCUGCAUAAGCGAGUCUGGCAACAAAUAAUCGUCUUCCAGAAAAUGACCAGAAACUCAGCCUGCUUUUUGUCAUUUCACCAGCCCCACCAUCUUUCCUUUAUUCUAGAGCUCCUGGCACACUUACAUGAAUCUCUUGAAAGAAGAGAAAUGAGAGCAUUCAUUCCAUACUAAUACAAUUGUGCCCUAUGGAAAGGCUUUUUGCUGGCAGACAUAGUAGACGGACCAUUUCCCAACUUCUUUUUCUUUGCCACCUUCCAGCCAAAGGUGUCCAUAUGACACAGCUCUGGACAGGAUAAUUGGAAGUCUGUUGUGGGAUUUCUGAGAAAGCUUUUGAUUUUCUGACAGAGACAUUUUUGCUUCCCCUUACCACUUCCUACUGGAUUACAGAUGUGAUGGAAAGAGCUGCAGCAGCCAUAAUACAACCAUAAAGGAGAGGAGAAGAGAAUUGCAAAGGCAUCAACCCACAUUGAAUUGAACUGCUAAGUUAACACUAGCAGUUACUUGCCUCCAGAUAUCUUGGUGUGUGAGAACAUUAAAUCUGUAUGUGUCUAAAUCAGUAUGGGUGAACAUUUCUGUCACUAAAGUCAAAAGCAUCCCUGAAACAGUGCAUGAUUCCAUAUGACCCUUACCACAACCCUGGUAAAUAGGUAUAAUUAUCCUUCAU